UACGUACUAUCCUGAAAACACCUAAAAUGUCUCAUAUCCGAAGCUAAGCAGGGGUAGGCCUGUUUAGUCCUCAUAUGGGGCAACACCUGGAACUAUCAGGUGCUGUAA
rnacentral:rRNA from 1 species